rnacentral:lncRNA from 10 species
UCUGCCUUUUGAGCAUGAAAACAGUGGGUAAUAUUUUCCAUUCCUUUCAUUGGUGAGCCAAAAACUCAAGGUGCAAGUGGAAUUCGAUCUUUAAGACUCUUUCUACCACACUUCGUGCAAGUCUUCCCUCUCCUGGCUCCAAGAGGUGUUGCCAAAGGAGAUUACCAUCUGAGUCAGUGGACUGGGAGAGACAGACCCACCCUCAGUCUGGGUGGGUACCAUCUAAUCAGCUACCCACACGGCUAGAAUAAAGCAGGCAGAAGAAAGUGAUCAACAGACUUGCUGAGUCUUCUGGCCUUCAUCUUUCUCCCGUGCUGGAUGCUUCCUGCCCCUGAACGUCAGACUCCAAGUUCUUCAGAUUAUGGACACUUGGACUUACACCAGUGGUUCACCAGGGGCUCUCGAGCCUUUGGCCACAGACUGAGCACCAUCCUAUUACAAAUCUGCCAGCCUACAGACUAGUAAAACGCGCUGACCCAAGAGAAAGCAAAAAGCGGCCCCUUUCCCCGGCUCCAGCGCUGCUCGGCCAGGCUUCACUUUUAAAGGCGAGCAUCAUUGGUUCAUGCGCCACAGGAAAUGGAGCCAUCACAGGACGGGCCAAAGACACCUGUCUUCUCAUCCCUCUUCUCACUUUUCACUUCAAAGGCACGCACCUCAUCAGGGAAGAAAAAGGAAAGCUGAGAGGAACUGAGACAGCAGUUUUAGGUGAUGGGUUAAUUAUGCACAGUUGUGCCUUCCUCUCUCCUUUCUCAAUCUUCGCCCCAAGUCCUGCCUCCAGGUUUAUGCUGCAGAGUGUCCGUGGAAGGGUGGCUCUUACAUGGUAGCUCUGAAAAGCUUGACAUUAUUUUACUAAGUGAAUGCAAGAAUUCUCAUGUGGGCAUCUCCACUCAUGGAUAGGAUUGCCAGAUUUAGCAAAUAAAAGUACAAUGAAAUAUCCAAUUACACUUGAAUUUCAGAUAAUCAACAAAUACUUCUUUUUCGUACAGUUAUGCCCUGUUUAACCUCUACUGUUCCACUAGGGAUAUACUUGUAUUGCGCACUUACCUGUUGUUUAUAUAAAAUUCAAAUUUAACCAGGCAUCCCACUCAUGGGGCCCCAGACCAAACGGAAGCCCCCUCCCUACCCCUAGCCAAAUGCUGGUUGAGUUUUUUGGGAUGAUAAUGAGGAAAAUAAGGCCAGAAGACCCACAUUGCCCCUCAUCUAUAGCACCUGAAACUUGGAACCACCCAACAGAUCCAGUUCUGCCCUGCCCUGAAGAGAGUUGCCUUCAUUUUCAGCAGAGUCUAGAGAGUAAUUUAAAGUUUGAAUUGGC